ACUUAAAUAGCUUAUAUAGAGCACGACACUGAAGAUGUCGAUGAGGUAUUUUUUACCUUUGAGUA
rnacentral:tRNA from 1 species